GGGUGCAAUCAUACUAACACUAAAGCCUUGGAUCCCAACAGAACUCCAAAGUUAAUAUGCUUGGGUGAGUGCAGUACUAGGGUGGUUGAACCCUUGGGAAGUCCUCAUGUUACAUACC
rnacentral:rRNA from 1 species